UACGUAGGGGGCAAGCGUUGUCCGGAUUUAUUGGGCGUAAAGAGCGUGUAGGCGGCUUUACAGGUCCGUUGUGAAAACUCGAGGCUCAACCUCGAGACGCCGGUGGAAACCGUAAAGCUAGAGUCCGGAAGAGGAGAGUGGAAUUCCUGGUGUAGCGGUGAAAUGCGCAGAUAUCAGGAGGAACACCCGUGGCGAAAGCGGCUCUCUGGGCCACUACUGACGCUGAGAAGCGAAAGCAUGGGGAGCGAACAGG
rnacentral:rRNA from 1 species